ACUACGGGAGGCAGCAGUGGGGGAUAUUGCACAAUGGGGGAAACCCUGAUGCAGCAACGCCGCGUGUGGGAAGAAGGUUUUCGGAUUGUAAACCACUGUUCUUGGUGAAGAUAAUGACGGUAACCAAGGAGAAAGCUCCGGCUAACUACGUGCCAGCAGCCGCGGUAAUACGUAGGGAGCAAGCGUUGUCCGGAUUUACUGGGUGUAAAGGGUGCGUAGGCGGUCUUGCAAGUCAGACGUGAAAACCACAGUCUCAACCUGUGGACUGCGUUUGAAACUGUGGGGCUUGAGGGAAGUAGAGGUAGGCGGAAUGCCCGGUGUAGCGGUGAAAUGCGUAGAGAUCGGGAGGAACACCAGUGGCGAAGGCGGCCUACUGGGCUUUAACUGACGCUGAGGCACGAAAGCAUGGGUAGCAAACAGGAUUAGAUACCCUUGUAGUC
rnacentral:rRNA from 1 species